AACGUAGGUGGCAAGCGUUAUCCGGAAUUACUGGGCGUAAAGGGCUCGUAGGUGGCCAACUAAGUCAGACGUGAAAUCCCCUCGGCUUAACCGGGGAACUGCGUCUGAUACUGGAUGGCUUGAGUUCGGGAGAGGGAUGCGGAAUUCCAGGUGUAGCGGUGAAAUGCGCAGAUAUCAGGAGGAACACCAAUGGCGAAGGCAGCUCGCUGGGACGGUACUGACGCUGAGGCGCGAAAGCGUGGGGAGCAAACAGG
rnacentral:rRNA from 1 species